rnacentral:lncRNA from 1 species
GUGGAUGCUCUGUCCUUGGAGAUAUUCAGAGUCAGUCGGGACCAGGCUUCGAGUGACUUGAUCUAGCUUUGGGUGUUCACUGCAAGGGAGCCGAUCUAGAUGACCCAAGAGUCCCUUCCAACUCAAACAAUUCCAUGGUUCUAUGAAAAUUUGGUUCCGUAAUUUCUGUUGCUGGCACUCAGUUAAAAAAAAAAAAAAAAUCACCCACAUUCUUAGAGACCAUUACUCUUUGUAGCUGGCCUUACCCUGGGACACCACCGCAGUUUGUGGCAGUUUUGCAUGCACAGCGUUGACAGGAUUGUACCUUCAGUAAAAGUGACAAGUCAGUAUUUGCUGCUAAGCAAGGGCUCCCUACAGGGCUUUAGGAGAACAAAUAUAUCAGGACUGUUCUCACUAGAAAGAGGACAGUGACGAAUGUGCUGGAAUGACCACGUCCUUGUGAGUCUGACGUCAAUAAGGUUUUGGCAAGCAGGAACGAUCCACCUGAAACAGAUGUUUCUUUUUCUGCUACUGCAAUUGCUCUAUGGGCUUAUUUGUGCCAUUUGAGACAGCUCUUCUUAGCAAGAAAUUAAAAAUAAACAGAAUGGAAAUAUAAAAUAGUGUAGCACUUCUCGAUAGUGAUGUUUCCAUUUGUCAAUGAUUUACAGGCUGAUUUGGCCUGGUUCUGUGACUAAUGGGGCAGGGGUAACCGUGGACACAUGCCCCAGGGAAGGGGAAAAAGGAGGAAGGGCUGGGAGGUGGGCCCAAAAACCAAACAGCGGCAGUGAUCUGAGGAGGAAAGUUAAUUUAUUAAAUAUGAUAUCAAAAUGCACGAGAACGCAACAUAAUAGAAUAUAAUUGGAAUGGAGGCUAAUAAAUUGUAUAAAAUGAGUGUAUCCAAAAACUGAAGACUGUAAUGCUGAAGAUGAGACCUCUAGGGAGCACAUAGGCUGCAGAGACAAGCAAAAAGGGAAAGGGGGAUGACUCAUGACCUGCGAACAGUUUUAUCUUUCCCUCUGAAGGGAAAACAGAAACAGAACGGUGAACGGCCCUCUGGUGUACGUAGUUCUUCUCCCAGUGCAUGAUGUUAUGGUGUGGAAUACCGAUAACAAAAAUCAUAAAACCAUGACACAUAGGAAAUAAAGUAGUAAUUAAAUAGUAUUGUGAUAGAAGCAAGCGUUUCUUAAAUGCUGACUGCAGUACUCAGUUUUAGAUGUGGAACGUCAAGUGCAACCUUCUUUCCCCCUUUUCUAAAAGGUGGUGUUUAACUGCCUUAGUAUCCUAACCCU